GUGAGUUUACCAGAGAAAUGCGGUUCUCCGUUGCGUUCCUAAGCGCUAUUUUAGCCGCAACUGCCAUAUUCUACGAAUGCAGUGGUAUUCCAACGCCAGAAAGCGAACAAUGCACAUACAACGGCGGGACAUUGAAAAGUGGCGUAACCGCGCGAAUGCAAAAACCUUGUGUGGAGGUUGAAUGUAAACAGGGAAAUAUGCAGGUCAAAGAGUGUCCCAAAGUCAGCCCCAAUAAGACCGGGCAUUGCACAAUAACUCCUGGAAAUGGAAGUAUUUAUCCGUACUGCUGUUCAGAUAUAUAUUGUUCUCUGAAAUAAUAAUAAUAGCUGAAACGGCGCCUAAAUUAUGCCGUCUAACUACGCGAAAUGAUGUCUUCUGCAGAC